rnacentral:rRNA from 1 species
GACGAACGCUGGCGGCGUGCUUAACACAUGCAAGUCGAACGCAGUGGCGAACGGGUGAGUAACGCGUAAUCAACCUGCCCUUCAGAGGGGGACAACAGUUGGAAACUACUGCUAAUACCGCAUACUGAAGGUGGGGAUUGCGUCUGAUUAGCUAGUUGGAGGGGUAACGGCCCACCAAGGCGAUGAUCAGUAGCCGGUCUGAGAGGAGGAACGGCCAAAAUGGGACUGAGACACGGGCCAGGCUGCUACGGGAGGCAGCAGUGGGGAAUCUUCCGGAAUGGACGAAAGUCUGACGGAGCAACGCCGCGUGGAGGAUGACGGCCUUCGGGUUGUAAAGCUCUGUUAAUCGGGACGCGGUACCGGAAUAGAAAGCCACGGCUAACUACGUGCCAGCAGCCGCGGUAAUUC